rnacentral:lncRNA from 1 species
UUCUUCACAGCCCCCUCUCCUGAAGAACCCUAGAACGCCGCCCUAAAAUUCUCAAUCCCACUGGUAGCGGCGCCACCUCCAAUCACCCCCAAACUUACAUCUCAGACUCUUCUCCUCCUCUUCUUCCCAUAUCCACCAUUAGUUUCGUCCAAAUCCCAACCCAACAUCUCAAAUUUUAGAUCAAAAAACUCGGUGAAAAACCAAACUCACUUUAAUAAGACCAAAUUGAUACUGGAUAGUCUAUGGGCCUUCCCCACCUCAAACCCAUGGUCUUUUUACUUCAAAUCUCAACAGGUCGUUCAUAAUUUUAG